GGGCUCUUCUGCCCAUUCCUUUUCUAUAGCUUGUCACAGAAGCUAAGUGCAUCCUGAUCCUUGAAUGCUUGUUUUGCUAGUUUGGGACUUUUUAGGUUUUUUUUUACAAAAAACUUAUGUAGGUAUUUAUUUAUUCAUUUGGAGAGGGUCUUGCUAUGUUAUCUAGACUGGCCUCGCAUUCCUAGAUAAGAGAGCCCCUGCCUCAGCCUAAUUUUUCCUGUUACCACCUAUUUUAAGUAGCACUUUGGCCUGAAUGCCUCUGAGUGGGGACUCAGUUGCUAAACUCCAAGGCCAGAGGCUACCUGCUCCAGAGACCAAGGCCAACUGCUUCACUCCUAGCAGCGCUCCUGGGUUACCUUUCCCCAGCCUCUUGGGCACAAGGAAUGCAACUCCACCAAGCCAGAGCUUCAUGGAGACACCACAGUCACAGUUCAGCCCCAGCCCUGGGGACCCUCCCGGUGUGGCCGAGGCACAGCUGCUGUGUGGUGCCUUCCAGACUGGUGGAGCCCGUGCACAUGGGAGAGUGGAGGAAUAAAGAAAUAAAAGGGGCCCACACUGGCCCAGAAGUGGUGGGAAGGAUGCCAGGUUGCUGUUGGUUCCGGGGACAAAAGUAGUGUAGCCAAGUCAUCAAGCACCACAUCUAUGAGAAGCCUGGACCAGGCCUCUGAAAACCAGAGCACGGACCCCACAGCUGCCUCUGCAGCCAGCCCGCCAUGAAGGGCAGCAGAGGAGAAGACCAGGGAGAAUUGACUGUGUCAGUAUCGCAACCU
rnacentral:lncRNA from 1 species